rnacentral:rRNA from 1 species
CGCCCCCUGAAAAAUAAACAUAGGGGGUCCUGCCUGCCCAGUGACUGCAAAGUUUAACGGCCGCGGUAUCUUGACCGUGCGAAGGUAGCAUAAUCAUUUGUCUCCUAAAUAGAGACUGGUAUGAAUGGCAAGACGGAGCUUCACUGUCUCCUCCUCUUUGAUCUGAACUUCACAUUCCCGUGAAGAGGCGAGAAUUAGUUCGUAAGACGAGAAGACCCUGUCGAGCUGUAGCUAAAUUUUAAUUGUUAUUUACUAUUGGGCCUAACUAAUUAUAAUAGAAAUAGUAAGCCUAAAGCAUGACAAAUUAAAACAAGCUUUGAUUGGGGCAAUCCCGGAGAAAGAAAAUCCUCCGCUACUAUAUGGUUAUAUUAACCUAAAAUAAAAGAAUUAUUUUUCUUAAAUCAUAAAAAUGAAGGUAUGAUCCACUUACAGUGAUCAAAAGAACAAGUUACCGCAGGGAUAACAGCGUUAUCUUUUCUGAGAGUUCAUAUUGACGAGAAGGUUUGCGACCUCGAUG